UGGGGAAUAUUGGACAAUGGGGGCAACCCUGAUCCAGCCAUGCCGCGUGAGUGAUGAAGGCCUUAGGGUUGUAAAGCUCUUUCGUCAGGGAAGAUAAUGACGGUACCUGAAGAAGAAGCCCCGGCUAACUUCGUGCCAGCAGCCGCGGUAAUACGAAGGGGGCUAGCGUUGUUCGGAAUUACUGGGCGUAAAGCGCACGUAGGCGGACUUGUCAGUCAGGGGUGAAAUCCCGAGGCUUAACCUCGGAACUGCCUUUGAUACUGCAAGUCUUGAGGAUGAGAGAGGUGAGUGGAACUGCGAGUGUAGAGGUGAAAUUCGUAGAUAUUCGCAAGAACACCAGUGGCGAAGGCGGCUCACUGGCUCAUUUCUGACGCUGAGGUGCGAAAGCGUGGGGAGCAAACAGG
rnacentral:rRNA from 1 species